rnacentral:lncRNA from 1 species
UCUGUCCUCUCGGCCCUGAGAGGUAAUAAUUCCCAUAUGGGUCCUAGUCCUCCCCAAUGGUUUUCCCAUCUCUGAUGGAAGAGUCCUUUUACAAAGUGGUGUUUGGCUACUGCUUUAGAGAUCCUCCUGUGCCUUCUUCUUCUUCUUGGGUUUUUCUUCUUGAAUUACAGGGGGGUUUGUAGCUUCUCUUUGUAGAUAGCUAAUAAAAUCACUUAAUUCACG